rnacentral:rRNA from 1 species
ACGUUCAUACCAGCACUAAUGCACCGGAUCCCAUCAAAACUCCGAAGUUAAACCUGCUUGUCCGAGAGUAGUACUAGUAUGGGUAACCCCCUGGGAAGUCCUCGUGUUGCACCCU